ACUCCUACGGGAGGCAGCAGUGGGGAAUAUUGGACAAUGGGGGAAACCCUGAUCCAGCCAUGCCGCGUGUGUGAAGAAGGCCUUCGGGUUGUAAAGCACUUUCAGUGGGGAGGAAAGGUUGUUGGUUAAUACCUAACAGCUGUGACGUUACCCACAGAAGAAGCACCGGCUAACUCCGUGCCAGCAGCCGCGGUAAUACGGAGGGGUUAGCGUUGUUCGGAAUUACUGGGCGUAAAGCGCACGUAGGCGGAUCGGAAAGUUGGGGGUGAAAUCCCGGGGCUCAACCCCGGAACGGCCUCCAAAACUAUCGGUCUAGAGUUCGAGAGAGGUGAGUGAAUUCCGAGUGUAGAGGUGAAAUUCGUAGAUAUUCGGAGGAACACCAGUGGCGAAGGCGGCUCACUGGCUCGAUACUGACGCUGAGGUGCGAAAGUGUGGGGGAGCAAACAGGAUUAGAUACCCUGGUAGGCUCUGCU
rnacentral:rRNA from 1 species